rnacentral:rRNA from 1 species
UACGUAGGUGGCAAGCGUUGUCCGGAUUUACUGGGCGUAAAGGGAGCGUAGGCGGACUUUUAAGUGAGAUGUGAAAUACCCGGGCUCAACUUGGGUGCUGCAUUUCAAACUGGAAGUCUAGAGUGCAGGAGAGGAGAAUGGAAUUCCUAGUGUAGCGGUGAAAUGCGUAGAGAUUAGGAAGAACACCAGUGGCGAAGGCGAUUCUCUGGACUGUAACUGACGCUGAGGCUCGAAAGCGUGGGGAGCAAACAGGAUUAGAUACCCGUGUA